rnacentral:rRNA from 1 species
GACGAACGCUGGCGGUGUGCUUAACACAUGCAAGUCGAACGGUAAGGCCCUUCCUGGGGUACACGAGUGGCGAACGGGUGCGUAACACGUGAGUAACCUGCCCUCAUCUCUGGGAUAACAGUCGGAAACGGUUGCUAAUACUGGAUAUGAGCUUGCAAGGCAUCUUGUGGGUUGGAAAGAUUUUUUUUGGUUGGGGAUGGACUCGCGGCCUAUCAGCUUGUUGGUGAGGUAGUGGCUCACCAAGGCUUCGACGGGUAGCCGGCCUGAGAGGGCGACCGGCCACAUUGGGACUGAGAUACGGCCCAAACUCCUACGGGAGGCAGCAGUGGGGAAUAUUGCACAAUGGACGGAAGUCUGAUGCAGCAACGCCGCGUGCGGGAUGACGGCCUUCGGGUUGUAAACCGCUUUCAAUUGUGACGAAGCUUUUUUGUGACGGUAGCAGUAGAAGAAGCACCGGCUAACUACGUG